rnacentral:rRNA from 1 species
UACGUAGGGGGCAAGCGUUGUCCGGAAUUAUUGGGCGUAAAGAGCUCGUAGGCGGUUUGUCGCGUCGAAUGUGAAAACCCGGGGCUCAACUCCGGGCCUGCAUUCGAUACGGGCAGACUAGAGUUCGGUAGGGGAGACUGGAAUUCCUGGUGUAGCGAUGAAAUGCGCAGAUAUCAGGAGGAACACCAAUGGCGAAGGCAGCUCGCUGGGACGUGACUGACGCUGGAGACGCGAAAGCGUGGGGAGCAAACAGGAUUAGAAACCCGAG